GCUUGGAGCAACCUGAUCUAGUGGAAGAUGUCCCUGUCCAAUGGCCAUGGGUUGGAACCGGAUGAUCUUUAAGGUCCCUUCCAACCCUAACCAUUCUGUGAUUCUGUAGCAGUCAUGUGGGCCAGGGGGCUGUGGAAAUAACAUUUCUAGCUGUUGGCUAGUGCUAAACGAUGUGAAAAUACAUGGUGAGUUAGGACAGGCUGUGUUUGGCCAUCCACUGGAUCUUUCCUACUGCCUGCCAGUCCUGUACCAAAUUAAACGCAGAAGCCCAAAAUACUGUGCAAGAAGAGAUUAUAGGCAAAACCAACAGAAGCUCUGAAUGUGGCUCAGUUACAAGGUGGUGAGGCUGUGUAACAGCCUAACACAUGGAGACUUCAGCAUUCCCAGUGAUCAGAAGCCAUUUGUUGCAGUUUGUUUUCCCCAUAUAGACACUAUCAAAGUCGCAAAGAUAUUUUAGGAGAAAUGCUGUGUGAAGCUGAUUUCUCCUGAAAUAUGACUAUCAUCCUGCUAUUUCUGGCAGCGCACUCUGUGUCUAUAGCAACAGGGACAGAGGCAACAGACCAAGAGGGUAAUGCUUGUGGUUUUAUGGGGUUAAACUUGUGGGCUCCACAUGACGUUAUCCAACAGUCCCAACUGACUUUAGUUGCCAAGCCCUCCUGUAGCUCAUCCUGAUUUGCUUUGUGUAGAUGAUACAGGCCAAGAAAUCUACAGGAAAUAAACUUUUUGUGAAGCAUCAAUGAAUUACUUGGACUAAACAGGCAGGGUGAUGAACAGCCUGUGGAAGCAGCAGUACCCUCGAGCAAAGGCAGUUAACGCUGGUUGCUGCUUUCAGCGCUGAAAGGUGCGAGGUUCAGCAGCACACCUUGGCUCAUCCCAUUGCUUACACAUGUUUAUUAGGGCUGGCUCCUCCAGUAUAAUUUUCUUGAUACCUAUGCAAGAUGUGUGGCCUGGGAUUCAAAGCGCAGAGGGAUUUUUAGCGGGUUUUAUUCCAAACCAGCUGCCUGUGUUUAUAACCAAUGCAAGUAACAGUUACUCAGCGGCAGAAGAGUUUUGCAGGCACUAAUGAUGUGAGCAAAUGUGACAGGAAGCUCAAGAACAAAUUAACAACAGUUAAUUUGAAGAGAGUUGGGGCCGGCAGGAUGCCAGAGUCUGUGUAGGUGGUUCAGCUGGAAAGAUGGGAUUCCUCAACUUUGACACCGGGGAAUUGCUGAGGUCAUGCAGGGGAGGGAAGGCUUUAAAACAAAACAUCCUUUUGGGCAAUCCAAGUCUUAAGCUGCUUCUGGGUAUGUGGUUUUCAGAAGAGUCUUUGCGACUGCAUAAACAAUGACUGUGGAUUUCUGGCAUUUGUGCAGCUGUGUAUUUCAUACCUUACAAUCUGCAGAUGGAAGUGUAGGGAUUUAAUUUGUUUAUUAACUCAUUGGCUGGGCUAGCUGUUGGGUAGAAUCUGGUAAUCUGGUAAUCACACGUGUAUUUCCAUAUGAAAGGAGAGGUGAAAACUCACUGAAAUGAUUCUGCUGAACUGAUACAUUGCCUUUGUACCUGGAUUUACACACUGUUGAAAAAGAGAUUGUCUGUGUUUAU